CAUCUAGUUCUGAAUAUGCUGAUGAAACAACUGCACAGAUGCAUUUAGUCUGUGUAAGGCCAAUAAAAAGGAGAUAGAUAGCAAUAGCAUGUUGUUAACUUAGCUUGUGGCGCUUAAUAGGCUUCUUAGUCAGAAACCUUAAGUACCUAAUGCAAUUUCACAUGUGAACCGGCCAUUAAAUCACAACAGAAAAGUCACUACUUAGUGACCUUGAUGGAGUCUGAUAAGCAACAAGAGCACGUCACUUAGGAUUUGACUAAAAGCUAGGCUCCUCACUAAGGUCCCAAGUUUGGGUUGAGUUUAUUGUAUUUCCUCAAGAAAGGCUCCUGGUCACAUCCACAACAAUUUUGUAAGUUGAUGGCAAGCACAAAGUAGGCAGCAUUUAAGAUCACCCGAAUCCCAGUAAGGGCCCGCACGAAAUUGUGCUCUCAAAGGAAAAUCCUUCUUUUUGGCUCAUGAUAACAAUAGUUUACAGCAUAGUUUAAUCCCCACGGUGACCUCACCCAUUUCACCGCUAAGAAAAAAAAAACAUGUGUACAAUAUUCAGCAACCAUAUCUCUUUGUUUUCUCCAUAAGUGCCUUCUGGGUCACCACAGGAUAAUAAAGAAUAGCUUGCCUUAAUAAUUGAGCAUGAUGUCUUCCUUCAGAACAAGUUUGAAAGCUAGUUAACAAACCCAACCGAUGUGGGCAAGGACUAUAAACUAUAUUAUAAUUACUCCCAGUGACAUAACCUACUGCAUAAAAACAAGCACUUGAGAUUGGGUGGAUUUCACUUAAAGUCAUGUGAAGUGAUUCCC
rnacentral:lncRNA from 7 species